rnacentral:rRNA from 1 species
GACGAACGCUGGCGGCGUGCCUAAUACAUGCAAGUCGAACGCAGUGGGGACGGGUGAGUAACACGUGGGUCACCUCCCAUCAGACGGGAUAACACUUGGAAACAGGUGCUAAACCGAUACUGAUGGAUGGACCCGCGGUGCAUUCGCUAGGUGGUGAGGUAACGGCUCACCAAGGCCACGAUGCAUAGCAGACCGGAGUGGGUGAGCGGCCACACUGGGACUGAGACACGGCCCAGACUCCUACGGGAGGCAGCAGGAGGGAAUCGUCGGCAAGGGACGAAAGUCUGACCGAGCAACGCCGCGUGAGUGAAGAAGGUUUGCGGAUCGGAAAACUCUGUUGUUAGAGAAGCGGUAUCUAACCAGAAAGCCACGGCUAACUACGUGCCAGCAGCCGCGGUAAUUC